UGGGGAUGACGUCAAGUCAGCAUGGCCUUUAUAUCCUGGGCUACACACACGCUACAAUGGGAAGGGACAAUAGGUUGCGAAGCCGCGAGGCGGAGCCAAUCCAGCAAAACUUCCCUCAGUUCAGAUUGCAGGCUGCAACUCGCCUGCAUGAAGUCGGAAUCGCUAGUAAUCGCGGAUCAGCAUGUCGCGGUGAAUACGUUCCCGGGUCUU
rnacentral:rRNA from 1 species